rnacentral:rRNA from 1 species
GUGCAGCAGCCGCGGUCAUACCGGCAGCCCGAGUGAUGGCCGAUCUUAUUGGGCCUAAAGCGUCCGUAGCUGGCCGCGCAAGUCCAUCGGGAAAUCCACCCGCCCAACGGGUGGCCGUCCGGUGGAAACUGCACGGCUUGGGACCGGAAGGCGCGACGGGUACGUCCGGGGUAGGAGUGAAAUCCCGUAAUCCUGGACGGACCGCCGAUGGCGAAAGCACGUCGCGAGAACGGAUCCGACAGUGAGGGACGAAAGCUAGGGUCUCGAACCGGAUUAGAAACCCGUGUAGUCC